rnacentral:rRNA from 1 species
GAUGAACGCUAGCGGCAGGCCUAAUACAUGCAAGUCGAACGGUGUCUUCGGACAUAGUGGCGCACGGGUGCGGAACACGUAUGCAACCUACCUUACAUUGGGGGAUAGCCUUUCGAAAGGGAGAUUAAUACCGCAUAAGACAGUAGCUGGGCAUCCAGCAGCUGUUAAAGAUUUAUCGAUGUAAGCUGGGCAUGCGUCCAAUUAGCUAGUUGGUGAGGUAACGGCUCACCAAGGCAAAGAUUGGUAGGGGAACUGAGAGGUCAAUCCCCCACACUGGCACGGAGAUACGGGCCAGACGCCGACGGGAGGCAGCAGUAGGGAAUAUUGGGCAAGGGACGCAAGUCUGACCCAGCCAUGCCGCGUGCAGGAUGAAGGCGUUAUGCGUUGUAAACUGCUUUUAUACAGGAAGAAACGACUCUUGCGAGAGGCAUUGACGGUACUGUAUGAAUAAGCACCGGCUAACUCCGUGCCAGCCGCCGCCGUAAUAC